rnacentral:tRNA from 1 species
AAGGCCUUAGCUUAAUUAAAGCGUCUGUUUUGCAUGCAGAAGAUGUGGGGUAAUAUCCUGCAGGUCUUA